rfam:Bacillus thuringiensis serovar berliner ATCC 10792 contig00178, whole genome shotgun sequence.
CAGAACUAUUAUUUCGAGAAGUCAAAUGAUAGGGUAACGCCUUGAAGGGCUUCCUCUGAUACUCCGACAUGCAGCAUACAAAAGAUAAGCCUGUAGUUGUGUGAAGCUCGGUGAAGUCGGCUGAGAGCUACCGUUAAAGUAUCUCGAUACUACGAAAACUGUCCAGCGGUGGAUGGUGUAGCCUAUAGGCCGGGAGUCUAAAAA